UACGUAGGGACCAAGCGUUGUUCGGAUUUACUGGGCGUAAAGGGCGCGUAGGCGGCGUGGUAAGUCACUUGUGAAAUCUCUGAGCUUAACUCAGAACGGCCAAGUGAUACUGCUGUGCUAGAGUGCAGAAGGGGCAAUCGGAAUUCUUGGUGUAGCGGUGAAAUGCGUAGAUAUCAAGAGGAACACCGGUGGCGAAGGCGGUUCUCUGGGCAUUACCUGACGCUGAGGAGCGAAAGUGUGGGGAGCGAACAGG
rnacentral:rRNA from 1 species